rnacentral:rRNA from 1 species
GACGUAGGGCGCGAGCGUUGUCCGGAUUUAUUGGGCGUAAAGAGCUCGUAGGCGGUUUGUCGCGUCUGCUGUGAAAACUCGGGGCUUAACCCCGGGCCUGCAGUGGGUACGGGCAGACUAGAGUGCGGUAGGGGAGACUGGAAUUCCUGGUGUAGCGGUGAAAUGCGCAGAUAAUCAGGAGGAACACCGGUGGCGAAGGCGGGUCUCUGGGCCGUAACUGACGCUGAGGAGCGAAAGCGUGGGGAGCGAACAGG